rnacentral:lncRNA from 1 species
AUCUCAGGACAGCUCUGAGGGAGGAUGGUAUCCCAACGGAAAAGCAUCCUGAGACAUGGGGGCCCAGGAACCACACAGCUCUGAGAGGAAGCCUCCUCCGCAGAGCAUUUGCAGCCCCUGAGGAGGGUAUCCCCGGCUGAGCUCAAGAGCUCAGGAGCAGGCAGCAAAUCUCAUAAAAGAGAUUUAGAGGGAGGAUCCAGGGUGCGGAGGGAUAAAUCUAGGGGUGGCUACCUCUGCUCCAGGGAGCAGACAGCAGGGAGCUGAGCAGACACAGCGUUUAUAUAGGAUCCCUUAGUGGGUGGAGCUUUCUACGAGCGGAGAUUUCCAGGCAACGCAAGCGCGAGCUCGGAAAGAGAAUCCACGUGUUGUAAGAAAAUGGCAGACAAGGCAGACAUGCGGGAAAUCGCCAGCUUCGAUAAGGCCAAGCUGAAGAAAACCGAGACGCAGGAGAAUAACACCCUGCCGACCAAAGAGACCAUCGAACAGCUCAGGAUGUGAGCCCUCGGCUUCCACUUCAGCCACCAAGCCUGCUGCAUGCUGCCAGGCUUCCCAGACAUGACAAACUCUGGAUCCACAAGCCCAAAUAAAGUCUCAUAUAAAUGGU